UACGUAGGGCGCAAGCGUUGUCCGGAAUUAUUGGGCGUAAAGAGCUCGUAGGCGGCUUGGCAAGUCGGGUGUGAAAACUCCAGGCUCAACCUGGAGAUGCCACUCGAGACUGCUAUGGCUAGAGUCCGGUAGGGGACCACGGAAUUCCUGGUGUAGCGGUGAAAUGCGCAGAUAUCAGGAGGAACACCGGUGGCGAAGGCGGUGGUCUGGGCCGGCACUGACGCUGAGGAGCGAAAGCGUGGGGAGCAAACAGG
rnacentral:rRNA from 1 species